GUUAAUUUUUUUUUAAAUUGCUUAUUGACCUCUUUUUAAAUUUUUAGAAGCUUUAGAUGACGAUUUGAUGUUUAUGGUGCAACCACAACAAAAUGCUCAACAACAACCACAUUCUGAACCGCAACAACAACUACAAUCAGUGCAACAACAACCUGGUAAGAAAUUAAUUUUAUACGUUUUUCAAUAAUCUUUUUUUUAUAAAAAACCUAUUUUUAUUUGUUGUGCUGUUGAUAUCAAAUUGUUUUUCUAAUACUUAAUUAUUACUUUUUAUCUUUUUUUAUAUUUUAACUAGAAACACAACAAUUACAAUAUGGUAAGAAAAAACCUUUUGUUUUAUUGAAUGUAAAUCUUUCU